rnacentral:rRNA from 1 species
UACGUAGGGGGCGAGCGUUGUCCGAAGUUACUGGGCGUAAAGCGCGCGUAGGCGGGCUAUUAAGUUGGAUGUGAAAUCUCCACGGCUUAACCGGGAAACCGCAUCCAAAACUGGUAGCCUUGAGGUAUGGAGAGGGAAGUGGAAUUCCUGGUGUAGCGGUGAAAUGCGUAGAUAUCAGGAGGAACACCCGUGGCGAAGGCGGCUUCCUGGCCAUAUCCUGACGCUGAGGUGCGAAAGCCAGGGGAGCGAACGGG